AACGAACGCUGGCGGCAUGCCUAACACAUGCAAGUCGAACGAACCCUUCGGGGUUAGUGGCGCACGGGUGCGUAACGCGUGGGAAUCUGCCCCUUGCUUCGGAAUAACAGUUAGAAAUGACUGCUAAUACCGGAUGAUGUCUUCGGACCAAAGAUUUAUCGGCAAGGGAUGAGCCCGCGUAGGAUUAGGUAGUUGGUGGGGUAAAGGCCUACCAAGCCGACGAUCCUUAGCUGGUCUGAGAGGAUGAUCAGCCACACUGGGACUGAGACACGGCCCAGACUCCUACGGGAGGCAGCAGUGGGGAAUAUUGGACAAUGGGGGCAACCCUGAUCCAGCAAUGCCGCGUGAGUGAUGAAGGCCUUCGGGUCGUAAAGCUCUUUUACCAGGGAUGAUAAUGACAGUACCUGGAGAAUAAGCUCCGGCUAACUCCGUGCCAGCCGCCGCCGUAAGAC
rnacentral:rRNA from 1 species